UACAAUAUUCUCACACCAAUACCCUUUAAAUAUUGAAAAACUUGUUAAGUUCUUAUUGGUCCUUUUGAAAUGGAUGCUGUAACGUGAGUUUCACAACGAGAUUCUUACUAUUUAAUUUUUUUUUCACAGGAACCAUCUUUCUGACAAAUGUUAUGUGGCCUGUGAGCAGGAACUGUUUUGCGAAGCAUCCAAUUUCACCGAGGCAGUCUGCGUAAUGUUCCUGACUUACUAUGCUUUCAACAUGAUGUACCCGAACAAUGCUUCGACAACACUGGAAUUCUUGCAAAGGCAGCUGUUCCUCAUCAAUCCACCAAACGGUACAAAGCGGGAAGGGGGACAGCGGUCAAGGACGGUGGUUAAUUCGAGAAUUAUGAAGCUGAACCAUGUGCUUCGAGCAAACGUCUCACCCGAGCAGCUGGACUCUGACCAGUGAACACAGUGCACAAUACUGCACAUUAUUGUUACGGGCACCACGGGAAUGUGGAAAUAGUACAAAUGCCACGAUUAUUUACAAGUUUCCAUUAUACAUUGUAUUUCGCAUUCUAGAUCUAUAAGAUAUUGAGAUCA